GAUGAACGCUAGCGGCGGGCUUAAUACAUGCAAGUCAAGGGGUAGCGAUACACCGGCGUACGGGUGCGUAACCCGUAUGGAACCUGCCCUUAUCUGGGGGACAACUCGGGGAAACUCGAGCUAAUCCCGCAUAAGAUAGUAGAAUGGCAACAUUCAGCUAUUAAAUAUUUAUCGGAUUAGGAUGGCCACGCGUAAGAUUAGAUAGUUGGUGGGGUAACGGCUCACCAAGUCUACGAUCUUUAGGGGCUCUGAGAGGAGAAUCCCCCACACUGGCACUGAGAUACGGGCCAGACUCCUACGGGAGGCAGCAGUAGGGAAUAUUGGGCAAUGGGCGGAAGCCUGACCCAGCCACGCCGCGUGCAGGAAGAAGGCCCUCUGGGUUGUAAACUGCUUUUGAUUGGGAAGAAAGCAUCUCAUGCGUAGGAUUUUGACGGUACCAAUCGAAUAAGCCACGGCUAACUACGUGCCAGCCGCCGCCGUAACAC
rnacentral:rRNA from 1 species